UUCUCAAAUUGCAUCAUGAUUGGGAUAGACCAUUGCAAUUAUUGGUCUUCAACGAGGAAUUCCUAGUAAGCGCAUGUCAUCAGCUCAUGUUGACUACGUCCCUGCCCUUUGUACACACCGCCCGUCGCUCCUACCGAUUGAAUGAUCUGGUGAAGUGUUUGGAUCGCGUCAACGAGGGUGGUUCACCGCUGACGAUGUCGUGAGCAGUUCACUAAACCUUAUCAUUUAGAGGAAGGAGAAGUCAUAACAAGGUUACCAUAGGUGAACCCGCGGUAGGAUCAUUG
rnacentral:ncRNA from 1 species